ACCUCACUUAUUUUUAGUGUCAUAGAAGAGCACUAUGGUCAUCUAUCAUGACCCACAUUACACAAGCUGGAGAGCAGCCUUGAAUAUUGCUCAGGGUCUGGUGGGGGUUUAUUUAGUUGUUUUUGUUGGUCAUGGUUUUUAUUUUGCUUCCUUCCUCUGUUUAAGUUGUAGUCAGAGGACUCACCUCGGGUUAAAGGUACUGCAUGAUGAUGAAUCCCCUGCAUCUUCGGUGGAAUGCUCCAGCAGGGCUGGAUGCGAUCAUCUUCUCAGUAAGACCUUUCUGGCUAAAAUUUAACCUGGAAGAGAGUGAAAUUGCAUUGGAAAAGCUUGCAGGAUUGGUCCGCAAGCUGUCUGGAGGGUAACAUCAGAUCAGAAAAAAGUAUUUCCAAAAGUGUUGCUGAUAAUGCCCCACUGAUAGAGAGAUGCUUUGGAUAUGGUUUCUGGAGAUGAUGUCUCCAGCCUGGGCCAAGCAGGACUCAGUAAUUUGGGAGAUCAGAUGUUCAUCAGAGCUCAUUUUGCUUUUGAAGAUGUGUGCUGGUCUCCUUUCAAAGCCAACCAUCGGUGUCUCAGAAAUAGGACUGGAGAGCUUUGGACACCCUAGAAAGUACGGCCGUAAUUUAGAUGCUCAGCUGGUGGUUUAGUAUCUUUGAAGAUCCGAUUCAACCUGUAGCUUGAUUUCUUCCCUCAGAGUAUAGAUUUCAUUUUCCCAAGCUAAAAUCCAACUCAGUCCUGUUGUGGAGCAACCCAGACUGUCUGACAAUGCAUACACACAUGGUGGGCUUGCCCUUCUGCACCAGUUAGUAACAGAAGAUUGAUCUAUCUGCCUUAAGUGUGCAAUUGGGCUUAUCAAAUCCCCCUUCAUGAAAGUCCGUGUGGCACAUGUAUUCAUCUCGUUUACUGGCCCUGAUGCUCGUGAUGUGACCAAACACUGGACAAAGCCAGCCUCUGACACACACCAGCCAUCUGCUUGUUCCCUUUUGGAAAACAAGUGCAGAAUCAAAGAGGUGCAAAAUAGAGAUAUUUUUUUUUCUUUUUUUUUUUUCUUUUUGUUUUGAAAUAUUUUUUUUAAGAUAGAUGUCAGUGAGAGAGAAAAUAGACCUUUGUAUGAGUACAGUGGACACAGAGACAUGCAUGCAGGUGAAAAGGCU
rnacentral:lncRNA from 1 species